UACGUAGGGUGCAAGCGUUGUCCGGAAUUAUUGGGCGUAAAGAGCUCGUAGGCGGUUUGGUAGGUCCGCUGUGAAAGUCGGGGGCUCAACCCUCGAAUGCCGGUGGAUACUGUCGGGCUAGAGUGCGGAAGAGGCGAGUGGAAUUCCUGGUGUAGCGGUGAAAUGCGCAGAUAUCAGGAGGAACACCUAUUGCGAAGGCAGCUCGCUGGGACGUAACUGACGCUGAGACGCGAAAGCGUGGGGAGCAAACAGG
rnacentral:rRNA from 1 species